rnacentral:rRNA from 1 species
CCUACGUGUGGCAGCAGUGAGGAAUAUUGGUCAAUGGGCGCGAGCCUGAACCAGCCAAGUCGCGUGAGGGAAGACGGUCCUAUGGAUUGUAAACCUCUUUUGUCGGGGAGCACAAGACGCCACGCGUGGCGUUCCGCGAGUACCCGCAGAACAAGCAUCGGCUAACUCCGUGCCAGCAGCCGCGGUAAUACGGAGGAUGCGAGCGUUAUCCGGAUUUAUUGGGUUUAAGGGGUGCGCAGGCGGAAGAUCAAGUUAGCGGGAAAAUUGAGAGGCUCAACCUCUUCGAGCCGUUGAAACUGGUUUUCUUGAGUGAGCGAGAAGUAUGCGGAAUGCGUGGUGUAGCGGUGAAAUGCAUAGAUAUCACGCAGAACUCCGAUUGCGAAGGCAGCAUACCGGCGCUCAACUGACGCUCAUGCACGAAAGUGUGGGUAUCGAACAGGAUUAGAUACCCUAGUAGUC